rnacentral:rRNA from 1 species
AUUGAACGCUGGCGGCAGGCUUAACACAUGCAAGUCGAACGAGUGGCGGACGGGUGAGUAAUGCUUGGGAAUCUAGCUUAUGGAGGGGGAUAACUACGGGAAACUGUAGCUAAUACCGCGUACCAUAGGAUGAGCCCAAGUGGGAUUAGGUAGUUGGUGAGGUAAAGGCUCACCAAGCCGACUAUCUCUAGCUGGUCUGAGAGGAUGACCAGCCCAGCGGGAACUGGGACACGGCCCGGACUCCUACGGGAGGCGCAAGUGGGGAAUUUUGCGCAAGGGGGGCAGUCUGACGCAGCCAUGCCGCGUGAAUGAGGAGGGCCUUCGGGUUGUAAAGUUCUUUCGGUAGCAAGGCGUUAACUACAGAAGAAGCACCGGCUAACUCCGUGCCAGCCGCCGCGGUAAUAC